GGUGGAGUGAAAAGCAGAUUGAUAGAGCUCCAGCACUGAUGCUUUCAAGGGUUACUUUAUUAAAAAUCAUGUUAGAGUGAAGAGGCAGUGGAGCCAUUUCAGCCAUCAUCAAAAGAACUCAGCCUCUGAGAUGAAGCACCCUGGCAAGAUGUUGGCCAUAAGAGAAGAAAAACUAAUAAAGGAACGUUCAUUGAUAGUUUCUUCUGAGAUACAGUUACUACAAUUUCAACUUUGCACAAAUGAUCUGCUUAAGAGGAUGCCAGCUCUUUCAUUACAAGUCACGAGGAUCAUCACAUGCUCCUUCCAUUGUGCCUGUAGCUCUUUCCCCUUCUCUGGUUCAUGCUGCGUAACCUCCUUUCUCUCCUACGUCACCGGCCCUGCAAUCCUUUUCCUUUUCUAAUACAUGCACGGCAAUAAUCUCCUGCUAACGCACCAGCUCUGACUAAGAUAAUAAGCCCUGUCACCACCCCCCCCCCCCCCCCGCCUCAAGCAGCUUCCUGCAUUAUACCACAUGAUGGGAGAUUAAAAUGUAUUUCAGUCUUAGAGUUUUUGUGCUGCUUGUAAGUCAUUCAAGUCCUUCCUUGCAGGUUGUGAAGUUGCCCAAAUCCCUCUCCAUGCCUAUAACCCUGGGGUCAGUUGUCUAGCAUGACCUGAUUGGAUACUUGGCCUUCUAAUGACUCUCUAAGUUGCUGGUGAGGCCUGUGCCAUCUGACAUGCCUUGAGCUUCCAGAGGUGGCACUUGUUAUGACCCUCAGCUAAGAUGCCCUGGUGCAGCUCUUAGCCUUCAGAAAUUGCAAAGUCCUUUGCAAAACAGUUUGCAUUUUUCAAUCAUGCUGUCUUAGGAUGUAACUGAUUACUAACCUUAUUUACUUCUCUACUGCUGUAGGUAUGUACAUGUUUACAUUAAUCUAGUAAGCUCUAGUAAGCUUUCAAUAAGUACAGUAAAUACAAACCUUUAAACAACAAUUUUAGAAAUAACUCAAGCAUAUGUAGCCUGUAAUAAUACCUAUAUCUGGGUAUUCUGACAUACAAUCAGAAUGGGAUCCCUGAAGAGUUUGUGAGUAUUGGGGUGCACUAGGUGCUGUUGAAUCAAAUUUUACUAUUGCAACAUCUUUAAUUUUUCCAUUAAAUGUUUCUUCUUGACUGUCAUCUUUUAAAAAUAACUAUUUCUUUUCCAUAGACUCUGAAGAAUGGCAAACAAGUACUCUAGAUUGCAGAAUUCUGUAGUUGGGCUCUUAAGUUUCAUGCAUUCAGAAAAUCAUUAAACACUGUUUUCUUCUGCACAAAAAUCUCAUAGGUUUUGUUUUUAAUGAAAUAGAGUGAUAUACUGAAGCCAAAGUGUUGUAGGCUGUCUGAGCUCAUUAUGUACUCUACUAUGCAACUUUUAGAGUGAUAUUUUGCUCUGUGGUAUGCCAACUGUAAAGUGAGAGUAUUUGUUCUUACCUUCUUAGUAACCCAAUUUGGGGUGAGAUAAGUACAAAGGAAUAAUUAUAUGUUAUUACUAUGAUAGCAUUGUUCUUUCUAAUACAUGGUUUUGUGCAAUACUUUCCAAGAAUCUUACUGCUAUGCCAUUGUAGCAUUCAUUAGCCUUUCUCCUGUAAAAUUAUGACUUUUUUAUUCUAUUUCAAGCUGGCAUAAUUUUUCUAAUAUAAUUGCCUUUCAGACUGGGGACCUUCGACGAGUGCUAGGCUGACAGAGGGAGAAUGUCUUUCUCUUGCAGCAGUCUUUUCUUGGCAGGCAUGUGAAGUGGAUGCAGUCUGAAUUGUAGUUGAUUUUUUUUUAACUUGAGUUUACCAGUUUCUAUAUUUAAACAGCAUAAGUGUAUUUGGAUGUUGUAGAAAUAAUUUAUCACAAGUAGUAAUGUAAGGCAGGUCAAGAGCAUAGAAUCCUUUUUUCCUGUUUCCUACUACCAAGAAACUGGCUAGCCAAGAGUCAGUUAUUUCUUCUCUAUUACGUGGCUUUAAAUAACUGAAAAUUCAGUGGCACUUAUGCACAAAACUGCAGAUAUUACUAGGCACAGCAUACGUUAGAGGUCUGAGGCAUAAAGCUUUUGCCUGAGUUUUGCUCUGAAGUUUGAGACAGUAGCGUGCCAGAUGUGUAAUUUGUAAAGAUAGCAAAAGCUUGUGUUUGUUAUUGUCUCUAAACUACAAUGUGGUGCAAUACAGGAUACCAGAGUUAAGUGUUAUAACGUACAACCAAAACUAGAAGGUGGAAGAUGAACUGUGUUGUCUAUGCAGUGCCCAAUUCUAUUAUCCUGAGUGGGACUGUGAAAUCACAUAGCUUAUUCAAGGUGGAGUGACUUCUUAGAAGCAUUUUUUAGACUGAAGCAGAACGUGGUUCUUUCAAGGUGCCACAUGAGACUGCACUUGAAUUUUAUGGACUCAGCUAUAUGCAGAAGCAUGAUCAUCUGCUCUGACAGAUGAAUGGAAAAUCCAUGAAUUCAAAGUAGCUUCUUCUUCAUUGCAGACGGCAAAAUUCAUUACAUUGCAAAGGGCUGUAUGAUUGAAUGAAUCAUAACAUACACGAAGACUAUAUCAGAGAUUUACAUUUCCUGAUUCCUACUCUAUGAAUAUGUCUUCCCUUAAAUUAUAAUGUUGUCAUAAUGCGCCAUCUAGGACUUAUUACAUUGGUACAGUGGCAGUAUGUAAGAAACCUAAUCAGAAAACAGAAAUCUUCCUCUUUAGCCCCGUUAGAACAUCAUAUGAAAGGUAGUGAGAGACACCAUGACACCAGUACUGUAAGUUUUAAAGAUAUAUUAUUUUGCUUGGAUAUAUUGAGAAAUGUUAUUAAUAGAUUUAGGGCAUCAAAUGGACAACUGUGUAAGAAAAUAUGAAGCUGAUAGCAAACAACAGAGCAGAGGCAGUUGAAGCAGAGUUUUAGUUGGUGGUUUAAGUAAUUCAGGUUUAAUAUUUGGACAGACAACUGUGGACUGAAGAAAAAGUAAGAAAUUAUAGAUACUGUUUUCCCAGUGUCAGUACUUAAGUUCCUGACCGCAGAAGGACAUCUGGAAUGUUACUUGAAAUCCCAGAUUUAAAACUAGAUUGAGUAUUUAGGAGACUGAGGCCAUGAUCAGCCAAUGGCUGCAAACACAAUCAUGUAUGCUUAAUGUGUUACUACCCCUUGCCUGGUGAUUCCUCAGGCUGAAUCAGAAGAAUCAGAGACACUUCAGAAGGGGUAGGAAUUCUCAUGAAUUGCCUCUGGACGAAGUUAAUCUGAUAGCUUAAAUUGCUGUGCAAACCUGUUUAACUUCUAGAUAAUUGAUUGUUGUUGGACUUACGUCACUGUGAAGUAAGUAACAGUAUACAUUUUAAUGUUGAUCUAUGGGAUGUAUUGUAGGCAAUAGUUUUUUAAAAGGAGUAACAGUAAUCAUCAAAUUUCUUACUAAGCACACAGAAUGUACCAAAGGCUUCAACAGUUCUCAAAAUGAUUUUUGUGCUAUGAUGCCUAAAUUUACAAUCAGAAUUGACAGGAACAAUAAAUUAAUUAAUGCUGGAUUACAGUGGAAUUCCUGGAAAAGCAUACAUGACACUUAGAUUGAUACCAAAUGUGACUCUCGUGAUUAAUGCUACCAUAAUGAACACCAAAAGUAUUCAUGAAGAUUAAAUUAUUGGACUGCUUCAGACAAAAGAAAGAAAAUAGUUCAGCACACAUGCACAAAAAUAAAGUGAAAUAAAAACUAAAAAGCAAUAGAACAUGAAAAAAAC
ensembl:lncRNA